CAUGCAAGUCGAGCGAGAAAGUGACUUCGGUCGCGAGUAAAGCGGCGAACGGGUGAGUACAACGUGGAUAAUCUACCCUAGGGUCUGGGACAACCCCGAGAAAUCGGAGCUAAUACCGGAUAAGACCACAGUAUCCAAGGAUACAGUGGUAAAAGAUUUAUCGCCUUUGGAUGAGUCCACGUCCCAUCAGGUAGUUGGUAAGGUAAAAGCUUACCAAGCCUAAGACGGGUAGCCGGCCUUAGCGGGUGAACGGCCACAUGGGGACUGAGACACGGCCCUGACUCCUACGGGAGGCAGCAGUGGGGAAUAUUGGGCAAUGGGCGAAAGCCUGACCCAGCGAUGCCGCGUGAGGGAUGAAGGCCUUCGGGUUGUAAACCUCUGUCAGGAGGGACGAUGGGACACUUGUGUCUUGACGGUACCUCCAGAGGAAGCCCCGGCUAACUCCGUGCCAGCAGCCGCGGUAAUACGGAGGGGGCAAGCGUUGCUCGGAAUUACUGGGCGUAAAGGGUCCGCAGGCUGUCAGGCAAGUUGGUUGUGAAAGCUCAAGGCUUAACCUUGGAAUUGCAUCCAAAACUGCCUGACUAGAGUCCAAGAGAGGUUGGCGGAAUUCCCGGUGUAGCGGUGAAAUGCAUAGAUAUCGGGAGGAACACCAGAGGCGAAGGCGGCCAACUGGCUUGGAACUGACG
rnacentral:rRNA from 1 species